GACCAAACCUUCCUUAUCUUUGUAGCCCAAACACAGUUGCUGGUGGGGUGAAAAAUCAGCUGCUAGACAAGUGGACACGUAGCACAUUGCACCACGGUGGGAGCAUAUUAUAGUAGUUUAAUGAAUUACAUUGUCCUCUUUCUCUGCCCUCAUAAAUGUGUGCAUAAAUAUGCCAAUGUGUGCAGCAGUUUAUUUAUUUUUAUAUCGGACUCCCUUCUACAUUAUAUUUCACAACAGAAGAAAGAAUCAAGAUUAAAAUGACGCAUCUGACUAGAAACUGAAAGCCGUUGGUGGGAAGACAAGAAAGAAAGCUCAUUAAUAAUUCUGGAGCUCCCGGAAGGAAGGAGCUCUCUCCUUUGGAUAACGCAGGGAAACCGUUCUAAAGUUAGUCCUCGGUAAAGAGCAUAAAACCAAACCGUAAAUGCUUGUGAAUGUACUUUGAAGC
rnacentral:lncRNA from 1 species